rnacentral:lncRNA from 1 species
UUUAAAUAAAAAAAUUAAAGCUGAUCCAGAUAUCUGAUUUUCUAGAUAUAAAGAUUCAGAUCCGCUUGAUCUAAGUUUUAGCAUGCGGAUCCAUAUUUUUUAAAUGUGUGGACAUGGGCUAAACCCAUAUUUUUUUAUCAUCCCUAAUUAUGACAGAUAUCUUAUAACACUUUUAACCCUAAAAAUAAAAUUUCACAAAAAUGUUUAAAUACAUUCUAAAUAGUCCCAUGAAGUUACUAGAAUAUCUUCAACUUAAAAUGGAUAAUAUGGAUUACACGACUCCUGUACAUGGCUAAUUUGACUUUGGAGCUUGAAAAGAAGUUGAGAGUUGUCAUUAACAUUCAAAAGCCGGAAUUGGAAGUGCCAAUCAUCGAAACACUUCUCUACUGCCGAUCAUUGGAACACUUCAUUACUACCACAUUUGACAAUUUCUUAAGGUAAGUAUUCAAUUUUCCUUCUUGUAAUAAGUUCAUAGGGCUUUGAUAUUUUUUUUAUUUUAAAAAAAGCAACGUUGAAGAAAUAAAUGAAAUUGUUGUGGGUCUCUCAUAACAUAAUAAAAAACACAAACUUGAAAACUAUUUUUCUUCAUGAGAUGGGUUAUGUAGAUUACCAAUUGAUACAUGACUUCAUGUAACGCCCAACCCUUAGUUGUGUUAUACAUGAUUUUCUAUAAUACACGACUACAUGCGAUACACAAUCUCACAAUCACAUAACUUAUGUCAUCAUUCUUAAUUCAUUAGAAUAAUUUAUUUCUUUGAAAACUUAGUUUGUGCUAAGAAUUAUAUUUGUUGCUAUGCAGAAAAUGUCAACGAUAAAUAUUCCAAAAUAAAAAAAGAAAGCAACAAGCUGAAAGUAAAAGUUACUAAUUUGUCAUCAUUAAUCUAAUAUGAAUUAAAAAAAAAAGCAACUUAGUGAUGAACAACUUGAAAUUUUUCGCAAAUCAUGUUUUGGCACUUUUUAUACUCAAAAGGAAUUUCAGUUUUGUGCUCAACUAUAUGCACCAUAGCAAAGUCUUUUAAUUAAGCACUACUCACUAAUUGAUAAUUGUACUAAUUGGCCACCAUAUUCAAACCACACCUUAUCUUUAUCACAUUCUUCAUGCGCCACUUGCCUAAGUAGCACAUUGCGCAUGAUCCAAUCAUUGAACAUAAAAUUAUCCAUAUUUCGUGAAAUGGUUGAAUAUGUCUUUCUGGAAUAAUUUUAAUUGUCAUUUCAUCAACCUUCUUUUGAUAGCUUGCAUCACAUUUAUAAAUUAUGAAGCACUUUUGAUACGGUAGCGGAUAUGUUUGGGAUGCAGGUACGUUCAUUGUACUUGAUUCCAUCCUCGGUCCGGAAGGAUUAUGUUUUCCCUGUGACUUCUUAGCCAUUGUAUAUGAGCAAAAUUCAAAUUUUAUUCGUUCAUAAUGUUCAUUAAAUUGAAACUAAAAAUUAAAAUGAAGGACUUAAUUUAUUAAAUUUCCAAAUUAGAAGCUAUAUUUACUACUUACAUUUUAACUUUUACUCCUUCCUCCAUUUUUUGUUAGAUUAGAUAAUACAUACUAUCAAUGUUUAAUAUUGAAUGGAAUAUCUUAACUAUAUUUUUUGCUAGAUCAAUUAAUACAUACUACCCACCUUUGAUAUUGAAUGGCAGAUGUGAACUAUGGGAUAGGGUAAGACUUGAUAAUGAUAAAGUGGGGGAUGUAGAGGAAGAAAAGAAAAAAGUUAAAACUUAAACGGAAGUUAAGAGAAAGAAAAAGAGAGAGAAGGGAGAAUGAAGAAAUUAGUAAAAUUCAGUUUAAGAACCCUUAUAUUAUAUGAUUUGAUCUUGGAAGUUAUAAAUCUGGUGAUGUAAGUUAAAACAUUACUUAAAAGUCGCAAGAAAAAUACAUAUAAAAGAGAAAUACAAAUAGUUGUCUUUGACAAUGAUGAAUUGGAAUAUCAUAUCGAAAUAAUUGAAAUAAGUUAGAUCUAAAAGAAGGAAGUACAAAAUAAAUGGAAUUGAAUGAUGCUAUGAACUUCGUAAAAUUAUUGGAAUAAAAAUACCACCCAUGAAGGACAAUUAUUUCCCUUCAUGGACGAGUAUAAAACAACCUAGAAAGCUAAAGGCAAGCUAGAAGACAAGUUUCUGCCAUUCGUCCCAUGGCUCCACGGAAAUAUUUCAAAAAACCACUUAGAGUGGAUAUGACGUGGGGCUGUUUCAAGUAUUGGAGAAUACGUGAAAAAUAAUAAUAAUAAUGUAGGUUCAAGGAUGAAGAAAAGAGAACCACUUGGGCUAAACUCCCUCACAAAUGUGAGAGGGAAGUGGUUCGAGCCUCCGCAUAUUCAUUGCAUGGGUUUAAUUUAAAUGUCUUUUCUUGGAGUCCCAGAGCUUGAGUGAAGGCAGUCUUUCUCCCAGGUUGGGAGUUUGACGUCCUUUAAAUAUUUGAGAGGGUUAAAAAUAUGAGCGGUGCCAUAUCAACAUUAAUGUCAACAGAUCUCAGUAUAUAUAUAUAUAAUUAUACAUAUCAGUUAUACUCUCAUGUAAUAUGAGUUAUAAUUUGAGCAAUAGUCUCAUGUCAUCCAAAAAAAAAAAGGAUAAAGAAAAGAGAAAGAAAAGGUAAGAAAGGCUUUGAAAAAAUUUAAGUAAAAAUAACCCUCCCAUUGUCGGUUUCGAUAAUGGAAGCAAAAAUAUAAGUCGCGUAGUAUAGUAUUUGAUGUAACCCAAAACUUAAAAGAGGUCAACAUGUCACAUGUUGUUAACAUAUGACAAAAGCGCUGAUAUGUGCAUUUCUUUUAUGUAUUAUCAAUGUACGUAUUUUUUUUAAGUGUAUGAAUUAUUGGUAUACAUGCAUUAUGGAUAAAUAUUUGUUUAAUCUCUAUAUUUUAAAGAAUGCUUCAAGAUAUUAUUUUUAUUAAUAUAUUAC